rnacentral:lncRNA from 1 species
AGUCAACUGCAAGGAGCACAGUUCCUGGAACCACAGCUUCUGGGGCAGGAGGAGUCCUAUCUGUCGUAUCUACCAGCAACACUCGACGUUAUCGAAAGAGACCUCUCAGAGUCUAGGAAUUCAAUUUGUCAUGGGAAGAAUCUUCUGGAAGCAGAGAAGAUAGUAGACAAGAGGCCCCAGUUUUCCUGCCGGAGAUCUCUGAGAAUAUUUGAGGUUGUUCAUGUUCUGUUUGCUUAUUGUGAACGAGACAAAGUUAGCUUCCUUUUGAAUAUCAAACUCUGCUUUUUGGAAGGGCUCCCUGCACAAGCGAUAUGAGACUGCCUGCCUUGUGUGAGCCUUGGAUGAGCCCUGCAGCUCCUUCGAGAUGCUCCUUGGAUAGUCCUGAUGGAGAAGACCCCAAGGAAGCUUGGUCCUGCUUGCGAUGAGCUUGCUGUGCUUUCACGGACACUCUUUGUUUCUUCUACCAGCCUUCAGUGCCAGGAUGAGCUUGAAAGGAGAGCUGAUGCCAGGGCUGUAGCCUUCCCCAGCCAGAGCAUGUGGGCCACACCCUUUCUGGAUGGCUAGGCUGUGGGGAGAAGCUAUGGGAUGCUUGAGAAGUUGUCACAUCUCCCCUGGGGACAGUUUGGUUUUCAGGGUUACAUCCAUUCAAAAACACCCCCUGGUAUUCAGGCUUGUGAAAGACAAGCUAACUUGACCCUGUUCCUUUGUUCUCACUGAGGUCCUGUCCUUGGCAUCUCCUUCCUCCGGUAGACACCACCGAGGUGCAGACACUACCCUGAUGGGACUUCCUGUCCUGCUGUUUGGCUCUGGAAGAGACUUGAUUCCUUUCUUUUU